rnacentral:miRNA from 12 species
UAAAGCUAUUGUACCAAAGUAA